rnacentral:rRNA from 1 species
UACGUAGGGGGCAAGCGUUAUCCGGAAUUACUGGGUGUAAAGGGUGAGUAGGCGGCAUGGUAAGCCAGAUGUGAAAGCCUUGGGCUUAACCCGAGGAUUGCAUUUGGAACUAUCAGGCUAGAGUACAGGAGAGGAAAGCGGAAUUCCUAGUGUAGCGGUGAAAUGCGUAGAUAUUAGGAAGAACACCAGUGGCGAAGGCGGCUUUCUGGACUGAAACUGACGCUGAGGCACGAAAGCGUGGGGAGCGAACAGG